rnacentral:rRNA from 2 species
UCGUAACAAGGUUUCCGUAGGUGAACCUGCGGAAGGAUCAUUAAUU